rnacentral:tRNA from 1 species
GCAGUGGCUCAGUGGUAGAGCACCUGCUAGGCAGGCAAAAGACUCCAAGCUCAAUUCCUGGCGUCUCCA